rnacentral:rRNA from 1 species
UCUUGGUCAUUUUAGAGGAAGUAAAAGUCGUAACAAGGUUUCCGUAGGUGAACCUGCGGAAGGAUCAUUAUUGAAUUUUGAAGGGGGUUGUAGCUGAUCUUUAUAUAAGAUAUGUGCACACUCUCUAUCCAAAUAUUUACACCCUGUGCACCUUUUGUAGGCCAACAUUGUUGGUCUAUGUUUUUUUCAAUGCACACUGUUAUAAGAGUUUAGAAUGCUUUGAAUUUAUUAAUACAACUUUCAACAACGGAUCUCUUGGCUCUCGCAUCGAUGAAGAACGCAGCGAAAUGCGAUAAGUAAUGUGAAUUGCAGAAUUCAGUGAAUCAUCGAAUCUUUGAACGCACCUUGCGCUCCUUGGUAUUCCGAGGAGCAUGCCUGUUUGAGUGUCAUUAAAUUCUCAAACCUCUCAAAUUUAGAGGAGAGAGGGUUUGGACUUGGAGUGUGCUGGGUCAUGUCAGCUCCUCUUAAAUGCAUUAGCUUGUACUCUUGUGGAUGGGCUUUGGUUUGAUAAUAUCUAUGCCAUUGCUGUGAAACAAAUAUCAGCUUCUAACACCCCAUACUUUAUUAUAUUUUUGACCUCAAAUCACGUAGGACUACCCGCUGAACUUAAGCAUA